UACGGAGGGUGCAAGCGUUAUCCGGAUUCACUGGGUUUAAAGGGUGCGUAGGUGGGCAGGUAAGUCAGUGGUGAAAUCUCCAAGCCUAACUUGGAAACUGCGUUGGAUACUAUCCGGCUCGAGGAAUGGAGGGGAGACUGGAAUACUUGGUGUAGCAGUGAAAUGCGUAGAUAUCAAGUGGAACACCAGUGGCGAAGGCGAGUCUCUGGACAUUUCCUGACGCUGAGGCACGAAAGCCAGGGGAGCAAACGGG
rnacentral:rRNA from 1 species